AUACUAGGGGGCUAGCGUUAUCCGGAAUUACUGGGUCGUAAAGGGUGCGUAGGCGGUUUCUUAAGUCAGAGGUGAAAGGCUACGGCUCAACCGUAGUAAGCCUUUGAAACUGGGAAACUUGAGUGCAGGAGAGGAGAGUGGAAUUCCUAGUGUAGCGGUGAAAUGCGUAGAUAUUAGGAGGAACACCAGUUGCGAAGGCGGCUCUCUGGACUGUAACUGACACUGAGGCACGAAAGCGUGGGGAGC
rnacentral:rRNA from 1 species